rnacentral:rRNA from 1 species
AGAGUUUGAUCCUGGCUCAGAAUGAACGUUGGCGGCGUGGAUUAGGCAUGCAAGUCGUACGGGCCGUAAGGCCAGUGGCGCAAGGGUGAGUAAGGCGACGGUAACCAACCCCAUGACUGGGUAUAGCCGCGGGAAACUGCGGGUAAUCCCCAGCGACGUCACGGAGGGGUAUCCCCCUGUGACCAAAGCUUCGGCGUCGUGGGACGGGCCGUCGUGGUAUUAGGUAGUUGGCGGGGUAAUGGUUUACCAAGCCGACGAUGCCUACCGGGCGUGCGAGUGUGGCCCGGCACACUGGGACUGAGACACUGCCCAGACUCCUACGGGAGGCUGUAGUCGAGAAUCUUCGGCAAUGGGCGCAAGCCUGACCGAGCGACGCCGCGUGGAGGACGAAGGCCUUCGGGUUGUAAACUCCUGUCGAGGGGGAAGAAGGUCCGUAAGGACUUGACUGAUCCCUGGAGGAAGCACGGGCUAAGUUCGUGCCAGCAGCUGCGGUAAGACGAACCGUGCGAACGUUAUUCGGAAUCACUGGGCUUAAAGCGCGUGUAGGCGGGACGGCACGUCGGUCGCUGAAAUUCCCCGGUUCAACCGGGGAACGGGCGCCGAUACGACCGCCCUGGAGGGGCGUAGGGGGACCUGGAACUUCCGGUGGAGCGGUGAAAUGCGUUGAGAUCGGAAGGAACGCCUGUGGCGAAAGCGAGGUCCUGGACGCCUACUGACGCUGAGACGCGAAAGCCAGGGGAGUGAACGGGAUUAGAUAUCCCGGUAGUCCUGGCCGUAAACGAUGGGCACUGGGUAGGGGGCUCGUUGAUGGGCUCCCUGCCGUAGGGAAACCGUGAAGUGCCCCGCCUGGGGAGUAUGGUCGUAAGGCUGAAACUCAAAGGAAUUGACGG